GCCGGCGUGGCGCAGCGCAUGGUAACGACGAAGGUCGCUGGUUCAAAUCCUGCCGCCGGCA
rnacentral:tRNA from 3 species